UACGGGGGGUGCGAGCGUUGUCCGGAAUCACUGGGCGUAAAGGGCGCGUAGGUGGUCUUGUAAGUCUGUGGUGAAAGCCCGGGGCUCAACCCCGGGUCUGCCGCGGAUACUGCGAGACUUGAGUACUGUAGAGGCUGGUAGAAUGCCGGGUGUAGCGGUGGAAUGCGUAGAGAUCCGGCAGAAGACCGGUGGCGAAGGCGGCCAGCUGGGCAGUAACUGACACUGAGGCGCGACAGCGUGGGGAGCAAAC
rnacentral:rRNA from 1 species